CUUUUACUUUUUCUUUGGGAGGUUUCUCAACUUUUACUUUUUCUUUGAGAGCCUUCUCCGCCUUUACUCUUUCUCUUAGAGGUUUCUCGACUUUUAUUCCCUCUUUCCGAAGUUUCUCAACUUUUGUUUCUUCUUUGAGAGGUUUCUGGACUUUUAGUUUUUCUUUUGGGGGUUUGUCAACUUUUACUUUUUCCUCUGGAGGUUUCUCGACUUUUGUUUCUUCUUUAGGAGGUUUCUCGACUUUUGUUUCUCCUUUAGGAGGUUUCUCGA